CAGUGCUAGGCAUGGAGGGGAAGCUGCAAAGUUAGAUGAGCUUAUAAGCAGAAUUUAGUCAGAGAGACCCAUACCUAACUCUAAUGCUAACCACGUGUUAAAACACUUUGGAGAAUUUCAGGUCUUUUAUCUUUUUCUUCAAAAACUGAAGAUGUGGCAGUUAGUUUUGGGGCUGGAAAUUUGAGCAGAGAGAAUGGCAGAGUCUUUUCAGGAGCCAGAAAUGCAUGUGAGGACCAAGAACUUCUAACAGUAGAGGAACUCUGGCUGGGGUAGUUGAGGGGGAGGAGAAAUGAGGAUCAAGGGGGCAUACAGUGCAUGAAAACAAAAGGUGAGGCCCAAGAUCAGCCAAAGUGAGUAAACCACGGUUACCAUGGCUACUCUUCAGUGGAGACGGAAGGAAGCCCUGUAUCCUCCCCUUCCAACCACACUACGCUGUUCCACUCCCCAUCUCCAUCUCCUGUACCCCAGACACACUCAGGCAAGCACAGCACCACCCUGGAUGACUCUGCGGAAUGCCUCUCAGAGACACGGAACUAGAAACCUAGGGGAAGAGGGACAUCAAGGCUUUUGCCUCACAAGCUGACUCUGGAACAAAGAGCCAGGCUGAGGGGCUGGAAGAAGAAACUUCCAGCAGAGCCACCCAGAUAUGCUUCCCCCACCCUCUAGACCUUCCACACCAACCAGUGUCCAGUCAGUCCACAGAGCAUCCUCCUGGGCUGUGGUGACUGAAGUUGAAGGGAAGAAAAUAUAAUAAUAAUUUUGGGCAGGUCGUCUUUCUUUACUGUAUUGGAUGGAUAUAGAAUCAAUAAAUCUAUAGGUUUAUCCCAUUUUUCUGAACAAAUUUAGAGGUCAAAGAUGAACCCUCAAGGGGACAGAAUAUGACCAGCAGGACUAUUGAUAUCGUCUGCCCUAGGCACUCCUCCUUACCCUCCUCUCCCCUAUAUUUUGGGGGCAGUCAUAUUCCUCAGCAGUCAGUUGCUCUGCCUCCAGUCCUAACUGGCUUCUGAAAAACAGUUCUGGUCCAUUCAUUCCCUGUCUCGAGACUUCCGGAGCUUCCUGACCUGUGAAUGAAAUCCACAGGCCCAUCACAAGAUGGCUGCGCUCUCCAGUCCCCGGCACCCCAGGCUGCUCUGAACAUGUGAGAGCUCCUCCCUCAAGGCCUGAAUUUUCGCAGGUCUUCAUCACACUCAGCCCGCCAUCAUUUUUUCAGAUUCAGUUCCAAUAUGUCACUCUGUCUGUAGAGCCUUCCCUGAAUCUCACAGACAAAUGCGGCAGUUCCCUUUGUGGGGGAUAUUCAUCAUGUUUUUCCUCAUUGGCCUAUGUUUUUGCCUCUUCUUGUAGAUGUCCAUCUAGGCUGGGAGCUCCUAGGGGGUAAACGCAGCCUCUCACUCACCUGGCACAGAGUCGAUGCUCAUGGAAUGAUACGUGAUGGGGAGAGUGAGUAAGUGAAUGAAUGAAUGAAUGCUAUUCUGGAAGGAAGAGGGAGAGAGGGAGCAGGGAAAGGUCAGAAGGGGGCCCAGAGUCUUCAGCACACAAUGUGGGUGUAUCACUGUGGCCAGGAACAAUUCGCUUCUCUGCCUGCAUUACUUUUUGGGAAAUGGGAGAGCUGAGGCUCAGUGUAGGCAAACUGGGUCCAGUCAGCAGGGAAGCCAUGAGCUCCACGGUUUAGGGGAGGAGUCCGGUGCUUAAGGAAGCUAUCACGUGGAAGAUCUCCCUGCCCUCCUCCUAUUGGUCUGUAUUGGUUUUUCUUCUUCACCAGUGGAGGCUUUUCUUCUCCCAGGAAGAAUCCAGAAUAGUUCAGACAAGCUUCAGGUCCGCCAGAACCGGGGAAAACAACGUGUAGGGUUUGUUUUAAAGGGCUUUUAAAUGGGGUUUGGGAGAUCCAGGUAGAUUAGAAUCUUGACUCUGCACUGGCUGUGCAAGACAGAAAUUCACCUUUCAAAACUUCUGUUCCCCAGUCUAUGCGGUAAGAAGUUUAGAUUAGCUGAUUUCUAGGGAGAUUUUGGGCAGGCAUGAUUCAGUUCCAUGAAGGGCUGUGGGACAGGACUGCACUAAGAGGUCCUAUAGAUUGGAUUCUUCAGUUCCCUCCCUUCCGCUGGAGAAUAGAGGAAUCUGCCUUCGCUGCACACUAGAUUUACCUGGAGAACAAAUGGAAAGCAGGCCAGGAUCCUGGGUGAAAUGUGGCACAUUUGAGGAGACUUCAACUUCCCUUGCCCUCCAGCCGCCCUCUUUAAAGUUACUAAUGAGCUUGCCUUCUCUUUCCUUAAUUUCCCCUCGCAGUGUGGUCUUUUCCCCACCCCCAGACAUGAAAGGGAAGCAGGUCACAAAGCCUUUCGGAUUAUAAAAGAAACACUUGCUUCUCACAAGGGGAGCAGCAGACUUACUCUGUACUAAAUGCCAGGAUAAGCCUCUGGCUGGGCCUCGACUGUGACCCUCCGGCCUCUUUCUACAGCUCUGCCUGGAUGGACUGGCCUAUCUCUGCUGGAUUCCCGAAGUGCAUUGUGUAGAGACAGCAACUCAGGUCAGGCUAAAAGCUCAAGCAAGCAAGCGCGCACACACACGCGCGCACACACACACACACACACACAAACACUCAGCUUCCUUAGGACAAGAUAAAAUCUUAGCAUUCCCCUCUCCCCGAUUAGGUAGGUCUCUGGGAGGACUAAGGCUUCAGGUGCAAGGCUCAGAUAACCUGCAGUGUCUCUCCAACUCUGGGAUGACAAAGACCUCACUUCCCUUUUCUGGUGUUCACACAACAAUGAGAAAGUACGGGUAGCCUGCAGAAAGACCUCUCCAUUCAUGGUCCCCCAGGGGUGUGGGUUCUGAGAGGUGGGACCAGCUGCCAGGCCCUUUCUCCAUUGGUUGAGUUCAGCAGGUAACCUGAAGCUUUGCUGAGAGGUGCAUAAAUAAAGAGUGAAACUAGUACCACCUCCUUGAAAUGGGCUGAGUCCCUCUUGCUCACCCUUGACUUGGAAAAACCAGUUUCUCUUUUAUUGUCUGUUACUAAUCUCUAUUCUAAAAAUUCAGCUCAAUUCUCAACCAUACUCCAAACUCUCUCUUUUCCAGCUACCUUUACUCCCUCUCCUUCAAUUCCACUUUCCUCUGCUUACUUUUUUUUUUUUUCUGACAGGGUCUCACUUUGUCGCCCGGGCAGGAGUGCAGUGGCUCAAUCUUGGGCUCACUGCAGCCUCAACCUCCCAGAGGCGGGGUUUCACCAUGUUGCCCAGACUGGUCUUGAACUCCUGAGCUUAAGCAAUCCACCUGCCUCGGCCUCCCAAAGUGUUGGGAUCACAGGCGUGAGCCACCGCAUCCGGCCUCAUGUUCUUUUUCAUUAAAGAGAGAAAUCAACUAUUCAGGACCGGCCCCCACCUUUCCUCAGGAGUCAUUUCUGUUCCGCACAGGCCUGCUGAACUGGGUGCUUUAUAUAGGACACUGUCAUCUCUCAAGUACCCAUCUUGGAGGGUACGGACCCCACAUGAGGAUUUCAGUGGAGUGAAGUUCAGGAGGCAUGGAGCUGACAACCAUGAGGCCUCGGCAGCCACCGCCACCACCGCCGCCGCCACCACCGUAGCAGCAGCAGCAGCAGCAGCAGCAGCAGCAGCAGCAGCAAGAGUAACUCUGACUUAGGAAUAGAGACAGCCAGAGAGAAAUGUGAUCAAUGAAGGAGACAUCUGGAGUGUGCGUGCUUCUUCAGAGGGACGGGUGAUGGGCAGAUUGGAAAAAGCACCGCAGAUGGGAACCUUAAUCUUUCUUUUCUAAAAUUGAUGCUAUGAAAAUUUGCGUUUUCUGUAACUUGUAAAAACUAAAAGUUGCUUGUCUACUGAAAAGCCUCUCUGCCUCUAUGUUUUAUACCAUCGGAUGCCAACUCCCGGCCUUCUAAGCCACCUCCCCUUUAGGCUAAAACUGAGACAUGAACUUGAAAAAUUGACACUGGCUUCCUCUCUCUUUAGGGUCCCCAGGCAGGUGGCUGGGACACUAUUUGCAAUCAGCAAGGAACCCUGCUGCCCUUAGACUCCCCACAGAGCAAGCAGAACUUGCAGAAUGGGGUAAAAACACUCUAUUAAAGAUUUUUUAAACCUAUUUAUAUUGUAAUAAAGUAAAUGUAAAUAAAAUUUAAGUGAAGGCAGAUUGCAGAUAUUUCCGAUGCUAUACAAGAUAUAUCUCAUAGUAUGGGUGUAGAUUCUGCAAAGGUUAAUGCAGUUAAACAUAUUUGACACAUAAAAAUGUCAGAUCCAACAUUAAUCAUUCACCAAUUGUAAUUGCCUUUCUAUGGGUCUCUUCUCCCCAAGACAUAGCUUAAAACACCAGGCUCGGUAGAAAUCUGGGAGGAAAAAAGCAAAUAAUACCUCUCAGCUGUCAGGGUCUAUGAUACGCUUUGAUAGAUUUAGCACUGAUUUCAUUCUCUUUACAAUUCAGUGUGAUUGGGUGUGCGUGUGUGUGUGUGUGUGUGUGUGUGUGUGUGUGUGUGUUACUCCAUGUUUCUCCUUUUUAAGGAAGGAGAAGGUGUGGAACAAGAGAAAGUUCCUAAGUCUGAAGGAAGUCCAACCCAGUUAUGAAGGGAAUGCCAUCCACAAGCCUUUUUUAUAAUUGGCCCCUGCCUCAGGUAAAGGGGUCUCCUUUAAGGAGCCAGUCUGGCUAAAUUGGCAGAUUCUGAACAAAGCCUGGCCCUGACAAGUCUUCAGAAAAACCGGUUUUCACCUCCAGAAUGUGCCCCAG
rnacentral:lncRNA from 10 species